rnacentral:rRNA from 1 species
UACGGAGGGGGCAAGCGUUGUUCGGAUUUACUGGGCGUAAAGGGCGCGUAGGCGGCGUGACAAGUCACUUGUGAAAUCUCCGGGCUUAACUCGGAACUGCCAAGUGAUACUGUCGUGCUAGAGUGCAGAAGGGGCAAUCGGAAUUCUUGGUGUAGCGGUGAAAUGCGUAGAGUAUCAAGAGGAACACCAGAGGCGAAGGCGGAUUGCUGGGCUGACACUGACGCUGAGGCGCGAAAGCUAGGGUAGCAAACGGG